UAGGGAAUCUUCCACAAUGGGCGAAAGCCUGAUGGAGCAACGCCGCGUGUGUGAUGAAGGGUUUCGGCUCGUAAAACACUGUUGUAAGAGAAGAAUGACAUUGAGAGUAACUGUUCAAUGUGUGACGGUAUCUUACCAGAAAGGAACGGCUAAAUACGUGCCG
rnacentral:rRNA from 1 species